rnacentral:rRNA from 1 species
UACGUAGGGUGCGAGCGUUGUCCGGAAUUAUUGGGCGUAAAGGGCUCGUAGGCGGUCUGUUGCGUCAGGAGUGAAAACUCGGGGCUUAACCCCGAGCCUGCUUCUGAUACGGGCAGACUAGAGGUAUGCAGGGGAGAACGGAAUUCCUGGUGUAGCGGUGAAAUGCGCAGAUAUCAGGAGGAACACCGGUGGCGAAGGCGGUUCUCUGGGCAUUACCUGACGCUGAGGAGCGAAAGCCGGGGGAGCAAACAGG